CCCUGUCGGGGUUAAUGCUUGGGAGGGAUGGGUUUGGGAAGAGCCCCCAUUAUGUUCGAAGGGGUGUUCCUGUCGGGGUUAAUGCUUGGGAGGGAUGGGUUUGGGAAGAGCCCCCAUUAUGUUCGAAGGGGUGUCCCUGUCGGGGUUAAUGCUUGGGAGGGAUGGGUUUGGGAAGAGCCCCCCAUUAUGUUCGAAGGGGUGUCCCUGUCGGGGUUAAUGCUUGGGAGGGAUGGGUUUGGGAAGAGCCCCCAUUAUGUUCGAAGGGGUGUUCCUGUCGGGGUUAAUGCUUGGGAGGGAUGGGUUUGGGAAGAGCCCCCAUUAUGUUCGAAGGGGUGUCCCUGUCGGGGUUAAUGCUUGGGAGGGAUGGGUUUGGGAAGAGCCCCCAUUAUGUUCGAAGGGGUGUUCCUGUCGGGGUUAAUGCUUGGGAGGGAGGGGUUUGGGAAGAGCCCCCCAUUAUGUUCGAAGGGGUGUUCCUGUCGGGGUUAAUGCUUGGGAGGGAUGGGUUUGGGAAGAGCCCCCCAUUAUGUUCGAAGGGGUGUCCCUGUCGGGGUUAAUGC